rnacentral:rRNA from 1 species
AUACGUAGGGUGCGAGCGUUAAUCGGAAUUACUGGGCGUAAAGCGUGCGCAGGCGGUUUAGUAAGACAGGCGUGAAAUCCCCGGGCUCAACCUGGGAACUGCGCUUGUGACUGCUAAGCUAGAGUACGGCAGAGGGGGGUGGAAUUCCACGUGUAGCAGUGAAAUGCGUAGAGAUGUGGAGGAACACCGAUGGCGAAGGCAGCCCCCUGGGUUGACACUGACGCUCAUGCACGAAAGCGUGGGUAGC